AAAUUGAAGAGUUUGAUCAUGGCUCUGAUUGAACGCUGGCAGCAGGCCUAACACAUGCAAGUCGAACGGUAACAGGAAGCAGCUUGCUGCUUCGCUAACGUGUGGCGGACGGAUGAGUAAUGUCUGGGAAACUGCCUUAUGGAGGGGGAUAACUACUGGAAACGGUGGCUAAUACCGCAUAACGUCGCAAGACCAAAGAGGGGGACCUUCGGGCCUCUUGCCAUCAGAUGUGCCCAGAUGGGAUUAGCUUGUUGGUGAGGUAACGGCUCACCAAGGCGACGAUCCCUAGCUGGUCUGAGAGGAUGACCAGCCACACUGGAACUGAGACACGGUCCAGACUCCUACGGGAGGCAGCAGUGGGGAAUAUUGCACAAUGGGCGCAAGCCUGAUGCAGCCAUGCCGCGUGUAUGAAGAAGGCCUUCGGGUUGUAAAGUACUUUCAGCGGGGAGGAAGGUGUUGUGGUUAAUAACCGCAGCAAUUGACGUUACCCGCAGAAGAAGCACCGGCUAACUCCGUGCCAGCAGCCGCGGUAAUACGGAGGGUGCAAGCGUUAAUCGGAAUUACUGGGCGUAAAGCGCACGCAGGCGGUCUGUCAAGUCGGAUGUGAAAUCCCCGGGCUCAACCUGGGAACUGCAUUCGAAACUGGCAGGCUUGAGUCUUGUAGAGGGGGGUAGAAUUCCAGGUGUAGCGGUGAAAUGCGUAGAGAUCUGGAGGAAUACCGGUGGCGAAGGCGGCCCCCUGGACAAAGACUGACGCUCAGGUGCGAAAGCGUGGGGAGCAAACAGGAUUAGAUACCCUGGUAGUCCACGCCGUAAACGAUGUCUACUUGGAGGUUGUGCCCUUGAGGCGUGGCUUCCGGAGCUAACGCGUUAAGUAGACCGCCUGGGGAGUACGGCCGCAAGGUUAAAACUCAAAUGAAUUGACGGGGGCCCGCACAAGCGGUGGAGCAUGUGGUUUAAUUCGAUGCAACGCGAAGAACCUUACCUGGUCUUGACAUCCACAGAACUUUCCAGAGAUGGAUUGGUGCCUUCGGGAACUGUGAGACAGGUGCUGCAUGGCUGUCGUCAGCUCGUGUUGUGAAAUGUUGGGUUAAGUCCCGCAACGAGCGCAACCCUUAUCCUUUGUUGCCAGCGGUCCGGCCGGGAACUCAAAGGAGACUGCCAGUGAUAAACUGGAGGAAGGUGGGGAUGACGUCAAGUCAUCAUGGCCCUUACGACCAGGGCUACACACGUGCUACAAUGGCGCAUACAAAGAGAAGCGACCUCGCGAGAGCAAGCGGACCUCAUAAAGUGCGUCGUAGUCCGGAUUGGAGUCUGCAACUCGACUCCAUGAAGUCGGAAUCGCUAGUAAUCGUGGAUCAGAAUGCCACGGUGAAUACGUUCCCGGGCCUUGUACACACCGCCCGUCACACCAUGGGAGUGGGUUGCAAAAGAAGUAGGUAGCUUAACCUUCGGGAGGGCGCUUACCACUUUGUGAUUCAUGACUGGGGUGAAGUCGUAACAAGGUAACCGUAGGGGAACCUGCGGUUGGAUCACCUCCGUACCUUAAAGAAGC
rnacentral:rRNA from 1 species